rnacentral:rRNA from 1 species
UACCAGCUCUCCGAGUGGUGUGGAUGUUUAUUGGGCCUAAAGCAUCCGUAGCUGGCUGGGCAAGUCCCCUGUUAAAUCCACCGAUUUAAUCGUUGGUGUGCGGGGGAUACUGUUCGGCUAGGGGACGGGAGAGGCCGACGGUAUUUUCGGGGUAGGGGUGAAAUCCUAUAAUCCCGGGAAGACCACCAGUGGCGAAGGCUGUCGGCUAGAACGCGCCCGACGGUGAGGGACGAAAGCUGGGGGAGCGAACCGGAUCAGAUACCCGGGUAGUCCCAGCUGUAAACGAUGCAGGCUAGGUGUUUGGGCGGCCACGUGCCGCUCUAGUGCCGCAGAGAAGUCGUUAAGCCUGCCGCCUGGGGAGUACGGCCGCAAGGCUGAAACUUAAGGAAUUGGCGGGGGAGCACCACAAGGGGUGAAGCUUGCGGUUU